GGCAGUCUCCUUGGCUAUCC
rnacentral:siRNA from 1 species